GAUGAUCUUUUGGAUUUCUCAGAAAAGUUCAGCCUCUCCUUCAAAGGCUUUGACAUCGACAGCUCCUGCUCCAUCAUCCUCUGCUGAGGCCACUUCAUCCAAACCGGUUGAUGAGGGGGCUGCGCUUAAAGAGACAUCUUCAGUCCCGGGAUCCUCAUCACAACCCAUGGAUGAGCCACCUUCUUGCCAGGACGUCAAC
rnacentral:lncRNA from 1 species